rnacentral:other from 1 species
GAACCGAUGAAUAGUAACUAGGGAGCCUGGAUCCAGCCGUGGUGCGCAAGCCCCCCGCUCAAGCGACGGGGGAAGCCUGAAGCGUUUGGGAAGGCACCCACCUGUAUGAGUGGUGGGUUC